CGGGGAGGCCGGGGCUGGCGCUGCCCUCGGCCCCCCUCCCGGCCCGCCCCGCCGCCCGGGCUCCCCCACCCUCGAUGAGGGUAUAUAUUCAGGGCGGGCUCGGGACGUCGAUGAGUGGCCUAACCGAGGGAUCUGGAGCCGGAGCUGGGCGGAGCCACAGGCGCGCGGAGGGAGGUUCACAGGUGCAAAAAUCACACUCCUGCUUUCACAAAGAUUGGCCACCAGAGCACUAUGAAUGUUAAUGACCUCAAACUCAGAUUGUCCAAAGCUGGGCAAGAACAUGUGCUGCAGUUCUGGAAUGAACUGGAAGAAGCACAACAAGUAGACCUUUAUGCGGAGCUCCAGGUCAUGAACUUUGAGGAGCUGAAUUUCUUUUUCCGAAAGGCUAUUGAAGGAUUUAACCAGUCUUCUCACCAAGAGAAAGUAGAUGCACGAAUGAAACCUGUCCCUCGAGAGGUGUUGGGCAGUGCCACUAGGGACCAAGAUCAGCUCCAGGCCUGGGAAAGUGAAGGCCUUUUCCAGAUUUCUCAGAACAAAGUAGCAGUUCUCCUUCUAGCGGGUGGGCAGGGGACAAGACUUGGAGUUGCAUAUCCCAAGGGGUUGUAUGAUGUUGGUUUACCAUCCCGUAAGACACUUUUUCAGAUUCAAGCAGAGCGUAUCCUGAAGCUACAACUGUUAGCUGAAAAAUAUUAUGGCAACAAAUGCAUCAUUCCAUGGUAUAUAAUGACCAGUGGCAGAACAAUGGAAGCAACAAAGGAUUUCUUCACAAAGCACAAGUACUUUGGUUUAAAAAAAGAGAAUGUAAUCUUUUUUCAGCAGGGAAUGCUACCUGCUAUGAGUUUUGAUGGGAAAAUUAUUUUGGAAGAGAAGAACAAAGUUUCUAUGGCCCCAGAUGGAAAUGGGGGUCUUUAUCGGGCUCUUGCAGCCCAGAAUAUUGUGGAGGAUAUGGAACAAAGAGGCAUUUGGUGCAUUCAUGUCUAUUGUGUGGACAAUAUAUUGGUAAAAGUGGCAGACCCACGAUUUAUUGGAUUUUGCAUUCAGAAAGGAGCAGACUGUGGGGCAAAGGUAGUAGAGAAGACAAACCCUACUGAACCAGUUGGAGUGGUUUGCCGAGUGGACGGCGUGUACCAGGUGGUAGAAUAUAGUGAAAUUUCCCUGGCAACAGCUCAAAAACGAAGCUCAGAUGGACGACUGUUGUUCAACGCGGGCAACAUUGCUAAUCAUUUCUUCACCAUACCAUUUCUGAGAGAUGUUGUUAAUGUUUAUGAACCUCAGCUGCAGCACCAUGUGGCUCAAAAGAAGAUUCCAUAUGUGGAUUCUCAGGGGGAGUCAGUUAAGCCAGAAAAGCCAAACGGAAUAAAGAUGGAAAAAUUUGUCUUUGAUAUCUUCCAGUUUGCAAAGAAGUUUGUGGUGUAUGAAGUAUUGCGGGAAGAUGAGUUUUCCCCACUAAAGAAUGCAGACAGUCAGAAUGGGAAGGACAACCCUACGACUGCAAGGCAUGCUUUGAUGUCCCUUCAUCAUUGCUGGGUCCUCAAUGCAGGAGGCCACUUCAUAGAUGAAAAUGGUUCUCGCCUUCCAGCAAUUCCCCGCAGUGCUACAAAUGGAAAGUCAGAGACCACCACAGCUGAUGUCAAUCACAAUUUGAGAUUUCAUAUUUGGGAAAGAAGAGCUAUGGUUUGAGGCUACAGAAGACUGGACUUUUAUGUGGGAUCUGUCCUUAUUGCUUGAAGGAUGCCAAUGAUGUACCAAUCCAGUGUGAAAUCUCUCCUCUUAUUUCCUAUGCUGGAGAAGGACUAGAAAGUUACGUGGCAGAUAAAGAAUUCCAUGCCCCUUUAAUCAUUGAUGAGACUGGAGUCCAUGAGCUGGUGAAAAAUGGAAUAUGAGUCAUAUACCAAGUUCUGCUACAACAAGGAAUAGCUUUUUAUCUUUACUAGAACAACUGUGAACCUACAGGACAUGUCCUGGAAGACUGAAGUUUGAACAUUCACAGGGUUUCAUUUUGCUUAUUCAACUCUUAAACUACUACAAACCUCCCAAAAUCCAGAUGACUGAACUUCAGAUAGCAUUUUUAUGAUUCUCAAUUCAUUGAAGGUCUUAUUUAUGUUUUUCAAUUGUCUGAUUUAUUUCCAAGUCAAGGAAAACAUUAGCCAUCUAGAACAUUUCUUAUAGCUUAAGUAUAGUCAGGAUGUCCAACAUCACUUUACUUGGAGCUGGAAGCUUUUGUUUUUGAAAUUGUACAUAGUAAUAAUAUGUCAUUGUACGUGUCAGAAGGUUUCUAUGGUACUAAAAGUUUGUUUUAUUUUAUCAAACAUUAAACUUUUUUAAGAAAAAAAAUUGGAUAGUAAAAUAAACUUAGCUUCUUGUCUCUGGA